AAGCGUGCGCAGGCGGUUUUGUAAGACUGUCGUGAAAUCCCCGGGCUCAACCUGGGAAUGGCGAUGGUGACUGCAAGGCUAGAGUUUGGCAGGAGGGGGGUAGAAUUCCACGUGUAGCAGUGAAAUGCGUAGAUAUGUGGAGGAACACCGAUGGCGAAGGCAGCCCCCUGGGUCAAAACUGACGCUCAUGCACGAAAGCGUGGGGAGCAAACAGGAUUAGAUACCCGUGU
rnacentral:rRNA from 1 species